GGGGAGGGGUCCAGCCCUUAAAUGCUGUGCUUUGCACCCAGGGGGGAACGCCCCAGCAGGGAAGGCUUUGCAGCAGGAAUGUCUGAGAAGUCGGGGAGGAGUCUCUCCCAAAGGGGAAAUUUGGGUGAAGGAGGAAAAAUUUCUUCUCAGAAAGAGUGGUGAGGCAUUGGCACGCGCUGCCCAGGGUGGUGGUGGAGUCACCAUCUCUGGAGGUGUUACAGAACCGUGGAGAUGUGGCACUGAGGGAUGUGGUCGCUGGGCACGGUGGGGGCCCGCUGUCCUCUGCCACGGAGAUCUAGAGGUAAAAGCAUGACAAAGAGGCAUCUGAGCAACACUCUCAGACGUAGGGUCUGGUUUUUGAGUGGUCCUUUGUGGAGCCAGGAGCUGAGCUUCAGGCUGGCAGUGCCCUUCCCUUGUAGCAGAGGUAGGGAACGUGCAGGCUGUGCUGCCGGGAAGAGGUCAGUGUCAGCUCACAGCAGGUGAUAAACAUCUCCUGGACGUUGCCUGUGCCACGUAACCCUGCUGGGGGACGGAGUGCUGCCAGUGCUAUAAACCCCCGUCGGUCUCUGGUGUCAAUAGGCCUUUAUCUCUAAAAGGGAGUCUUAUUAACAGGGAGCGAACUUUGCUGCCUGUGGCGUGCUCUUGAAACCUGCCUUGAGGUUCUUCGUGCCCAAAUGAAAUGGGAGGGUUUGUGAGGAAAAGGAAAGCAGAGCAGGCACUGCUCCGGGAGCAAGAUGAGCACCCACCAACCUCCUGUAUGGCCCAGAGGUUGCACCCAAGCCUGCAAAAUGUUGUGCAGAACCCGUUUGGGCCUUUAAUUAACUCAUGUCUGUCUUUGUGCUCCCUCUGCAGCAAGAUCAGCUGCUGGCUGGCGGCCUGGGAAGGGCGAGGUGUCCAUUUUGCACCCUAUCUGCUUGUGAGGAGUGCUGGCCUGCAACCGGGCCUCUCUGUGCAGCUGCUUCCCUGUGCUGUUUGAGGAAAGGCAGCCCAUUUCUGUCAUGCUCUGAGCUUCUUCCUGUGGUGUGGGCUGCGAAGGGACCACGGAGGGCUGUGAGGGUGUCCCUCCAGGUGAUCUGCAGGUGUGACAUGGCCACCAGGGCCUCCCCUGCCAGCCAGCUCCCCAGGAGCUGUGGUUAGCAGCAGUGUGCCAGCAGGCAGCGAGGCCAGGCUGUGUUGGCAGGCAGGCUGUGGGCUUGGCAGCCUGUCCCGAGGUUUACAGAGCUGCCUGUUGGUUUGUCCCACGUCUCCCUCGGAGGCUGCAGCAGCAGAUGGCACUCUGUGUCCGCGUGCCAUCCCUGUGGGCAGGAGGUGGCCCCUCCAGGGUCAGCGAGGCAUGGAGCAGCUCCCUGACCUCCAGCCCUCUUUCCACAGCAAGACCUGGACUGGGGUGAUGGAAAGAUUUGGGCCUGAUGGAGGAAACGAGGAGGCACUCGGCGCAACGAGCAGCAAAUAUAGAUCAAACAGCAGGAAAUCCGCUCUCUGGCGGCUCAGGAGGGCCACGCAGUGGAAAGCCCUGGUCCAGCAGGAGGUCAUCCAAGACAAACAUGGAGCUGCUUUGUGGGGCGGCCCGGCUGGCGGGCAGGAUGGGCAGGCAUUCUGCUUCACUGCCAUCCCUGCAGGCGGUCAGGGAGGAGGUAUCCCAGCCCGUGGUAGGGAGAAGGAGCCCUUCUCACCAGUGCCUGAAGCGGUCUGCUGGGUUCUGUCAGCAGAAUGAGUUGUUUGCCAGCCUGAGUGGCAUCAGUGCGGAAGCAUAGAAUGGCUCAAGUUGGAAGGGACCUUAAAGAUCAUUGAGCUCCAAGCCUCAGCAGUUCUGCAUGUCCUCCUCAGGGAGGCUGGCUCCAAACACAGCCUGGCUUUGUUCUGUUCCAGUGGGAAUGGUUGUAUGUAUGCAAACUUAGACUUAAAUGUCCCACAGGGACGUGAUGCUCAUACAAGCAACUGCUCACCAAAAUGAACAGAGAGUUGGGUGGUACCUCUUGCAUUGCUGUGGCACCACCAGCACUGAUGUGUAGUGGCUUUUCCCAGGUGGAGAUCAAAGAAGUAGAGAUCGAAGACUCAUGAGCACUCUUGGAUGGCAUGUCCUACUGGCUUCCAGGGGGUAGGAAGGGGCAGAGAUUGAAUUGAGGGGUGUUUCCUCCCCAGUUUCUUUGUUGGAUGAAACUUGGGCUUGCCCAAAUGCUCUUGGACAGUCAUUUGGUAGUCAGUGCGUAACCAUCCUGUCACCCCUACUUGUGUGCCUUGUUUCUGCAGGGUGGGACAGGAGGUUACAGCUAAAAAGGGAUUCACCCCAACAGGGAGAGCAGGCUUUGCAUCUUCAGGCUGUACCUGGGCCUUGAGCCAGCCCCAGGCAAGCUGAUGCCCAAAGAAACUGUGGAUUUGGAUUUCCCAUCCCUGGAGGUGCCCAAGGCCACAGACGGGCCCUGGGCAGUCUGAUUUGGUGGGGGGGCAGCCAGCCCAUGGCAGGGGGUGGGACCGAGUGGGCUUUGAAGUCCCUUCCAACCCAAACCAUUCUGUGGUUCUAUGAUUUCUAACUGGGAAGGUGACAGCUCCCUGGGAACCUGCCUGGGCGUUCACUUGCUCACGGAAACCUUUAUCAAGAGAGUGAAGGUGAUUGUCCGGGCCCCUUGAUGUCCUCGGGAGAUAGCCUGCAGGGAGGCUUUCUGACAGGCUGCGAUCUCAGCUAUUGCCCUUUGACAGCAGCAGAGAUAAAGACGCAUGAACAUCCUGCUCAGGAAACUCCCUCCUCCUCGUGCGUCGGUCCUUGAGUCUGAUAAAUGCAGGGUAAACAGGACAAAAAACAAAGCCCCAAGCCAGCGCCCGCCUCCAAGGUAGCCUCCUGCCAGCCACCCUGGGGUGCGCGGAGGUGAUGGGGUCACCUUCAGCCUCUCCAGGAUGAUUUCUGGAUGCUAUUUCCCUGGGUAAGUGAGUGUUGUUCCUGGUGAGGAGCGGGCAGGACAAAUGGGGCAAAGCACCCCAGCGAGUAUGGAUGUGGAUCAGCUGCCCAGCCCUGCAUCCUUGGUGAGCUGAGGAUGGGUGUUCCCAUGGUGAGCCCAGGCUGUGGGCUGUGCAGAUGCUGGUCAGGUUGAGUGUCCCCUGUGAGGGUUGUAGGUGUCCCAGCAGUGCUGAGCCCUAUUAUAGGUACCACGAGGUGCAGGGAGCGAGGAGAGGUGAGUACUGCUCCUCUCUGCAAUGAGCUCUGCAUCAUUUUGCUCAGAAAGCUGCUCUUUAGCUGUAGUUCCCCUCUGGGGCAAGAUCCAAGCUCUCUUGUCCAUGUCAGUGACAGAGGGUGAUGGGGCUGACCUCAGCCCUUUCCCAACGUGGUAUUAGCUAAUCCAGCUCCCCAGCGACGCAGCUGUGGGGCUGGUCCAUUGCCAGCCCCAGCCCAUGCCAGCUCUCCUGCAUUUCCACAGAACUGUGAUUGCACCACUGCAGCCUUGCUCAGAGCAAGGUGAGAAGGAAGGAAGUUUGAAACACUAGAGAGUUUCCUUUCAAAUGGGAUUUGCAUCAAAGAAGCCCGUAUUUAGCUUGAUGCAGCUUGGUUUGCUGUAGGGCUGCCAGGAAAUGUUAAAGCAGCACGGUGGGAAGGUUGUUUUGGUGCUGCACAUCUGUCCUGUGUUGUCUGUCCUGGUCGCCCAUGGAGCCGUAUGAGAGCCGGGGUGCACUGGCCUGGAGUAGGGGAGGGAUGUGGGGGGCUGAGGAGUGACAUGCCUGAGCAGCAGCGGGUGCUGAGCUCCUCUGUACCCAUCGGGAUCUCAGGAGGAGGAGUCAAGUCUUGGGGCCGCUACCCAAACCUCUCUGCCUGGGGUUUGGUGAGAGCUGGCUUUCUCUGGGGAUUCCCACCCCAGGCUUGAUGGGUUGGAAAUACUGCAAGAGCAGCCCUUUUUUGUUGUUGUUUUUGUUUUUAUUCUCCUGAUGUUUGUGUCUUUCCACUUCCGUCCCUGGCCAAAGCAUGUGAUGCCAAGGCAAAAGAGGCAGGCACACCCAGCAGGGUAGGGGGAGGAGAGGGGUGCAAGUGCCUUUAACCCACAGGAAAAGGGAAACAGAAGGGAAAACCCAUAGCUGGCACCAAGGAGGCUUAAGCCAUGGUCUGUUCUGUCCAGACACAGGGAGUGACG
ensembl:lncRNA